CUCUUCGGAGUUAGUGGCGCACGGGUGCGUAACGCGUGGGAAUCUGCCCUUGGGUACGGAAUAACUCAGAGAAAUUUGUGCUAAUACCGUAUAAUGACUUCGGUCCAAAGAUUUAUCGCCCAAGGAUGAGCCCGCGUAAGAUUAGCUAGUUGGUGGGGUAAAAGCCUACCAAGGCGACGAUCUUUAGCUGGUCUGAGAGGAUGAUCAGCCACACUGGGACUGAGACACGGCCCAGACUCCUACGGGAGGCAGCAGUGGGGAAUAUUGGACAAUGGGCGAAAGCCUGAUCCAGCAAUGCCGCGUGAGUGAUGAAGGCCUUAGGGUUGUAAAGCUCUUUUACCCGGGAUGAUAAUGACAGUACCGGGAGAAUAAGCUCCGGCUAACUCCGUGCCAGCAGCCGCGGUAAUACGGAGGGAGCUAGCGUUGUUCGGAAUUACUGGGCGUAAAGCGCGCGUAGGCGGUUUUUUAAGUCAGAGGUGAAAGCCCGGGGCUCAACCCCGGAAUUGCCUUUGAAACUGGAAAACUUGAAUCUUGGAGAGGUCAGUGGAAUUCCGAGUGUAGAGGUGAAAUUCGUAGAUAUUCGGAAGAACACCAGUGGCGAAGGCGACUGACUGGACAAGUAUUGACGCUGAGGUGCGAAA
rnacentral:rRNA from 1 species